AGUUCACGAAAGUCUCCUGAGGUCCACAUCCGUUCCUGCCGGUGCCGUCAGGGCAGUAACCCCAGUUGUUUCCUGUGGGUGAUGAAGGAAUGCAAAUCAGCUGCGACAGAGAUCCUAUUUGGUGUUCUGUAUGAUAAGGUGUCAUCAUGUCAACCGUGUAGGUCGCUCUGUGCAUUCGACCCAGUUUCAAAAAUGGUGCCACGUGGUAAACAUUCUCUCCCUCGAUGAUCUAGGGGCUCAAGGUCAAAUCUUCCAAUCUUCCUGGGAGGAGACGUCAGGAGGAAUGAGGAAACAGAGCCGUAGAAGUGGGUGGCUACGUAGACUGAAAGAAAAGUUAGAAAAGAGGGCCCUUAUUACUGAACAAGCAAGCGAGAGAGAUAGAGUAGAAGCUAGCUCGCUGGAGGUA